UACGGAGGGUGCAAACGUUGCUCGGAAUUAUUGGGCGUAAAGCGCACGUAGGCGGUCCAGCAAGUCGGGUGUGAAAGCCCUCAGCUUAACUGAGGAAGUGCAUUCGAUACUACUAGACUUGAAUACUCAAGAGGGUCUCGGAAUUCCCGGUGUAGAGGUGAAAUUCGUAGAUAUCGGAAGGAACACCAGUGGCGAAGGCGACCACCUGGACUGAUACUGACACUGAGGUGCGAAAGCGUGGGGAGCAAACAGG
rnacentral:rRNA from 1 species